rnacentral:rRNA from 1 species
UACGUAGGGUGCAAGCGUUAAUCGGAAUUACUGGGCGUAAAGCGUGCGCAGGCGGUGAUGUAAGACAGUUGUGAAAUCCCCGGGCUCAACCUGGGAACUGCAUCUGUGACUGCAUCGCUGGAGUGCGGCAGAGGGGGAUGGAAUUCCGCGUGUAGCAGUGAAAUGCGUAGAUAUCUGGAGGAACACCGGUGGCGAAGGCGGCAUCCUGGACCGGUAUUGACGCUGAUGCGCGAAAGCCAGGGGAGCAAACGGG